rnacentral:lncRNA from 1 species
GUGUGAGCCACUGUGUUCGGCUGAGUAGGCUAUUUGAUGCUCUGGAACCAGAUAAGGUCACCAAGGAUCAGUGUGUGCCAGGGGUGGUCACCCACUUUGCUCACCCGGGCCUCGUUCCUGGGGGCUGUGUGUGUAGAAAACAGAGAGGGAAACAAACAAAACAAAAUGUAGAACAACAUGAACUGGCCUUUGUGGCGUGGAGACAUUUAAGCUGACAUCCAAAUGACAAGAAGUCAGCCAUUCCGAUGCGGGAGGGAGUGUUCCAGGCAGAGGGAACACCAAGUCUGGGUCAAAAGUGAGCUGGAGGCCGGGUGCAGUGGCUCAUGCCUGUAAUGCCAGCACUUUGGGAGGCUGAGGCGGGUGGAUCACUUGAGGUCGUGAGUUCGAGACCAGCCUGACCAACAUGGUGAAACCCCGUCUCUACUAAAAAUACAAAAAUUAGCUGGGCGUGGUGGCAGGUGCCUGUUAUCUCAGCUACUCAGGAGGCUGAAGCAGGAGAAUCGCUUGAACCCGGGAGGCGGAUGUUGCAGUGGGCCGAAAUCACGGCACCACAUUCCAGCCUGGAUGACAAGAGUGAAACGCCGUCUCAAAAAAAAAAAAAGAAAAAAGAAAAAAGGUGAGCUGGGCUGGAACAAGGGGAAGCUACCUUUUUCCCUCAUCUUCACUGUCCAGCAGAAGUCAUGUAUUCAGGCGGUUCCCAUGUCAGCAUGGAAGCCAGUUCCUGCAAUGUCCCCAACAGAGAUGUGCUUUUCUUCACUGCCUGCUUACCUGUUCUCUUUCUCUAGACAAAGACAAGCUCCUACGGCUGCCCCUCCUGGCCCUCACCUUUCUCGCAUGAAAGCUGCAGAGUCGGCAUGGCAGAUAUUGGCCAGCUCCACUCCUUAGGGCCUGCCCACUUGGCAGCCUCAUGGGCAGGAUGAGGGC